rnacentral:rRNA from 1 species
UACGGAGGGCGCUAGCGUUGUUCGGAAUUACUGGGCGUAAAGCGCACGUAGGCGGCUUUGUAAGUUAGGGGUGAAAGCCUGGAGCUCAACUUCAGAAUUGCCCUUAAGACUGCAUCGCUUGAAUCCAGGAGAGGUGAGUGGAAUUCAUGGUGUAGCAGUGAAAUGCGUAGAGAUCAUGAGGAAGACCAGUGGCGAAGGCGGGUCUCUGGACAGUUCCUGACACUGAGACACGAAGGCCAGGGGAGCAAACGGG